ensembl:lncRNA
CAGGCUGAUGUGUGUCCAGAUGGACAUUGGUUCUGUUCAGGCUGAUGUGUGUCCAGAUGGACAUUGGUUCUGUUCAGGCUGAUGUGUGUCCAGAUGGACAUUGGUUCUGUUCAGGCUGAUGUGUGUCCAGAUAGACAUUGGUUCUGUUCAGGCUGAUGUGUGUCCAGAUGGACAUUGGUCCUGUUCAGGCGGAUGUGUGUCCAGAUAGACAUUGGUCCUGUUCAGGCGGAUGUGUGUCCAGAUAGACAUUGGUUCUGUUCAGGCUGAUUGCUGAUGUGUGUCCAGACAGACAUUGGUUCUGUUCAGGCUGAGUGCUGAUGUGUGUCCAGACAGACAUUGGUUCUGUUCAGGCUGAUUGCUGAUGUGUGUCCAGAUGGACAUUAUUUACAUGUCAGUUUAUUUCAAUGAUGAUUCCCAUCAAGAGAUACGAUCUCUUGAUUUGACCGAGUGUCUCUACAAGGGGUGGUGUGUCUCUACAAGGGGUGGUGUGUAUGAAGACAUGUAACGUAUACGAAAUAGGUUUUAAGUGAAGAAAGUGAUUUACAAGGAAUGAAUUAUGAUCUGCAUCCUAAAUGGCACCAUAUUCCCUACGUAGUGCACUUCUUUUGAACAGGACCCAUAGGGCUCUGGUCAAAAGUAGUGCACUAUAUAGGGAAUAGGUAUUGGUACGCAGCCAUGAUGAAAGGUAGGAAUCUAAACUGUUGUUUUGCUCAUAUGAUGUACGAAGGAAGAAACUAGAAGUUGAGUGACACAGUGUCCAUUUUUAUUUUCCUUAUAAACACCUAGAACUGAGGAAACAGACCAGCUCACUAAAAGUUGUUCUUCUCUUCAACAUAAAUAUGCAGACUUCCUUUGAAAACGGAAUCACAACGCAAACAAGUGUGCGUCGGAAAUGUCACCCUAUUCCCUACGUAGUGCACUACUUUUGACCAGGGCUCUGGUGCACUAGGGAUCAGGAUGGCAUUUCAGACAGGUUCAGAGUCAUUUUGUAAAUACAUUUUUUUCAGACUCAAGUGACUGCAAAUUGUGUCUUUUCUCUCGCAACCACAAAACAUGAGGG